rnacentral:tRNA from 1 species
GGGCCCAUAGCUCAGUUGGUUAGAGCAGGGGACUCAUAAUCCCUUGGUCGUGUGUUCGAGUCACACUGGGCCCACCA